rnacentral:tRNA from 1 species
GGGCCCGUAGCUCAGCAUGGAUAGAGCGCCGGCCUCCGAAGCCAGAGGUCGCGGGUUCGAAUCCCGCCGGGCCCG